rnacentral:rRNA from 1 species
AAAAGGACUCUCGGCAACGGAUAUCUCGGCUCUCGCAUCGAUGAAGAACGUAGCGAAAUGCGAUACUUGGUGUGAAUUGCAGAAUCCCGUGAACCAUCGAGUCUUUGAACGCAAGUGGCGCCCGAAGCCUUCCGGCCGAGGGCACGCCUGCCUGGGUGUCAUGC